ensembl:lncRNA
AGCAGCUCAGGUCUGAGAUCCUGGUCUUGGGCACCAUAGGAUACCACUCAUUUUGGGAAGUCUCAGGGGCGGUUGAGGUGGGAUUCUUGGACCCAGGAGAAAUCUCCUCGAGAGAGCUGACUGGAAACUGGGACUUCUGGACUUGAGAUCUCUCUGCCUCCUGCAAGGCAGCUCUGUAGGUGCAGGUCCCAGACCUUGCCCAUAAGGACCCAGGAGUCCCGCCUUGUUCCUGGAUCCCGGUUAGACACGUGGUGCUUCUGCCUUCCGACUUAGGCCCCUGAUAGAUUCAAGAGUUCUGCCGGCCCUGAGGACCCACUCUGGACGUGGACAUGAAAAACUCCUGCCUGGCUCUGCCUCUCUCCCCCGCUAUCCCCCAGACUCGUGGGCUGCUACCAGAUCAGACCCCAGACCCUGGCUCCCGGUCGCCAAGCCUAAGCUCUACCAGAGAGUCCCAGACAACCACCCCAGCUCCUAGGAAGACCUGAGGGCACAGUCAUGUUGCUGCUUUCCCGGGAUCUGUGUCCCCCCGAAGCCUUCUGCCCCUCCAGUGUCUGAUCUCCUUAGCCUGAGCUGUGUCAGAAUUUCUUUCUUCCACAUCUUCCCCGGGCUCUCUUUCCUCCUGCUUCCCUGCCCCCUCUUUUAAAGCCCUCAAACAUCACCUGCCUCCUUCCCUCCCCAGAGCUACAUCUCAGGCUUCCCCAUCUUCCCCUAGUGCCUCCAUCCAGAGCCAUCCUCCAUAGACUUCUACAACGUUCUAUGUAUACAUUGUUUCCUCCUGAAUUUACAGGAAGGUUAUUGUUAUCAGCUCUCCCCCCUCUCCCCCCUCCCCACGGAGAGUUACAGUGAUAACAUUUUCACAUAUAAAAGUAAAUAACCGAGAGCAUUGGAAUUAGUCUUUAAUGUUUUCCUUUUUCCUUAAUCUUUUAUAUUAAAUUUUCCAUUAAUUCUGCUCUUUUUGUUAUAAAUACAUGAAAGUUUUUCAGUUUGUUAAAUGCCUAUUUUCCCCUCAUUCCAAAUUUUAUUCCAGAUUUCUGGGUAAAUUACUCAGGCUGCAACUCCAAUUCCUUUGUUCUUUGAAAUUUAAUGUAACCAAACUUAUGGUCUUUUAGAGUUGAAGCUGCUGAUUUUGUGAAAUCCUGACUAUUUCUGCAAUAUUGAAGUCUGUCUUCUUUUCUGGUUGAUUUGCAGCAUUUUCUCCUUAACUUGGGAAUUGUGAAAUUUUGCUAGGAUAUUCUUGUAAGGUUUUCUCCUGUGAUCUCUUCAGUUGGGAAACAGUAGUUUUUUUUUUUUUCUUCCCCCCUUUACCCUCUUGUUCUAGAACUUCAGGGCAAUUAAUUUUCUUUCACAAUUUCUUGAAAUAUCGUAUCCAGAUUGUUCUUUAAAUAAUAACUUUUAGCUAGUCCAACAAUUCUUAUAUUGUGUCACUUUGAGGUGUUCUCCAGUUUUCCUAAUGAGAUGUUUCAGAUUCUCUUCUAUGUUUUCUAGUUUAUUUUUUGGUGUCUCAUAAUGUCACUCAAUUCAGAGAGAAGUAGAGAGAGGCAGAGAUGUAGAGAGAUUCAGAGAAUCUGGCUUCAGAGACUAGGCUGCUUGGGGGCUCUUGCAUCUCAGAAACUUUCCUG